UACGUAGGGGGCAAGCGUUGUCCGGAUUUAUUGGGCGUAAAGAGCGUGUAGGCGGCCAGGUAGGUCCGUUGUGAAAACUCGAGGCUCAACCUCGAGACGUCGAUGGAAACCAUCUGGCUAGAGUCCGGAAGAGGCGAGUGGAAUUCCUGGUGUAGCGGUGGAAAUGCGCAGAUAUCAGGAAGGAACACCACGGCGAAGGCA
rnacentral:rRNA from 1 species